rnacentral:rRNA from 1 species
ACGAACGCUGGCGGCGUGGAUAAGACAUGCAAGUCGAACGGGAGAAUUGCUAGCUUGCUAAUAAUUCUCUAGUGGCGCACGGGUGAGUAACACGUGAGUAACCUGCCUCUUAGUGGGGGAUAGCCCUGGGAAACCGGGAUUAAUACCGCAUACGAUUGAAAGAUCAAAGCAGCAAUGCGCUAGGAGAUGGGCUCGCGGCCUAUUAGUUAGUUGGUGAGGUAACGGCUCACCAAGGCGAUGACGGGUAGCCGGUCUGAGAGGAUGUCCGGCCACACUGGAACUGAGACACGGUCCAGACACCUACGGGUGGCAGCAGUCGAGAAUCAUUCACAAUGGGGGCAACCCUGAUGGUGCGACGCCGCGUGGGGGAAUGAAGGUCUUCGGAUUGUAAACCCCUGUCAUGUGGGAGCAAAUUAAAAAGAUAGUACCACAAGAGGAAGAGACGGCUAACUCUGUGCCAGCAGCCGCGGUAAUACAGAGGUCUCAAGCGUUGUUCGGAAUCACUGGGCGUAAAGCGUGCGUAGGCUGUUUCGUAAGUCGUGUGUGAAAGACAGGGGCUCAACCCCUGGAUUGCACAUGAUACUGCGAGACUAGAGUAAUGGAGGGGGAACCGGAAUUCUCGGUGUAGCAGUGAAAUGCGUAGAUAUCGAGAGGAACACUCGUGGCGAAGGCGGGUUCCUGGACAUUAACUGACGCUGAGGCACGAAGGCCAGGGGAGCGAAAGGGAUUAGAUACCCCUGUAGUCCUGGCAGUAAACGGUGCACGCUUGGUGUGCGGGGAAUCGACCCCCUGCGUGCCGGAGCUAACGCGUUAAGCGUGCCGCCUGGGGAGUACGGUCGCAAGAUUAAAACUCAAAGAAAUUGACGGGGACCCGCACAAGCGGUGGAGUAUGUGGCUUAAUUCGAUGCAACGCGAAGAACCUUACCUGGGCUUGACAUGUAAUGAACAACAUGUGAAAGCAUGCGACUCUUCGGAGGCGUUACACAGGUGCUGCAUGGCCGUCGUCAGCUCGUGUCGUGAGAUGUUUGGUUAAGUCCAGCAACGAGCGCAACCCCUGUUGCCAGUUACCAGCACGUCAAGGUGGGGACUCUGGCGAGACUGCCCAGAUCAACUGGGAGGAAGGUGGGGACGACGUCAGGUCAGUAUGGCCCUUAUGCCCAGGGCUGCACACGUACUACAAUGCCCAGUACAGAGGGGGCCGAAGCCGCGAGGCGGAGGAAAUCCUGAAAACUGGGCCCAGUUCGGACUGUAGGCUGCAACCCGCCUACACGAAGCCGGAAUCGCUAGUAAUGGCGCAUCAGCUACGGCGCCGUGAAUACGUUCCCGGGUCUUGUACACACCGCCCGUCACAUCAUGGAAGCCGGUCGCACCCGAAGUAUCUGAAGCCAACCGCAAGGAGGCAGGGUCCUAAGGUGAGACUGGUAACUGGGAUG